rnacentral:rRNA from 1 species
AGAUUGAACGCUGGCGGCAUGCCUUACACAUGCAAGUCGAACGGCAGCGCGGGGCAACCUGGCGGCGAGUGGCGAACGGGUGAGUAAUAUAUCGGAACGUACCCUGGAGUGGGGGAUAACGCAGCGAAAGUUGCGCUAAUACCGCAUACGAUCUAAGGA